rnacentral:rRNA from 1 species
GACGAACGCUGGCGGCGUGCUUAACACAUGCAAGUCGAACGAAGAGGCGAACGGGUGAGUAAAACGUCGGGAAACCGGCCUCAUUGAUGGGGUAAGCCUUGGAAACGGGGUGUAAUACCCAAAAACGGGGGAUGGGCUCGGGGCCUAUCAGCUAGUUGGUGGGGUGAUGGCCUACCAAGGCGUUGCCGGGUUGCCGGGCUGAGAAGGUGAACGGCCACUUUGGCACUGCGAUGCGGCCCAGACGCCUACGGGGGGGAGCAGUGGGGGAUAUUGCACAAUGGGCGAAAGCCUGAUGCCGCGACGCCGCGUGGGGGAUGAAGGCUUUCGGGUUGUAAACCUCUUUCGCUAGCGAACGGGUAGGUGGAGAAGAAGCGCCGGCUAACUACGUGCCAGCCGCCGCGGUAAUUC